GGGGAAAAAUUAAAACUCGGAAAAGCCGAGUGAGUGGGAAAAGUUAACUGAGUUUUGCUUGUGUUUUCAUUUUUGUUUACGAGGUUUUGAUGUUUGUCGUUCAUAUUGUUUCACUUUAAUUGUGAGUAUCAAGCUAUAUACUCCGAAAAAGUACGUCAAAUAUUUUUUUUGGAGACUGAAAAACAAAAUUUUAAAAAUGAUACAAACAACUUGUAUAGAUCCAGGCAUUCGGAAAUAGAACUGCACACUUUUAUAACGAAUUUUGCCAUUAUAACAAAAUAAACACAAUUUUCUUAUUAAGAUGUUAACAUUUUAAAGCUCUAACAAACCUAAGAAAUUGUUUUUUGUGUACGAGGUUAGAUGUGUCCCCUUUAAUUGAUGAGUUGAAGAGGGUAAUGGAGGGCAGGUGACCGCCAGUCAGCGAGUCUUAAUUGGAACCCCCUGAUAUCAAAGGCGAGGAGUGAGGGACAGCAAUUAUAAUCAAUAAUCAGCUUGAGCAUUAAGUAUCCGACCCGUUAACUGUGGCUGUGCAAGUUGCUUCUAAGGACUGAAUGAUUAUGAAUACUCAACGUCCAGUCCCAGAUGGCCGGUCCUUUUCGAUCCCUUCUUUCCUUUUCAAUUGAGGCUGAUGAUGAUGCUGUAAAAUGUCAAAUGUGAGUGCUGCUUUCAUAUGAAAUGACGCAAGAAAUAAAAGCGUUCGCCUUUGGGACGCCACUGGCAAAGGGCAACCAUCCAUCUGCCAUCCGCCAUCCGCCAUCCCAGCCAUGCAUACAAUGCGAAAGCCUGGCCAGUGACGUCACGGCCAUAAAGGACUGCAUACGGUGAACAUAUCCUGGCCACAAAAUCCAGGCCGAGGGACCCAUCGACCCAUCCAGCAGAAGAGCAGAAUGUACCUGAGGCGGGUUAAUUAAACGCAAGGAACGUCAUCAGCAUCCUUUAUACGCCCUGGCCACGUUGCGCAUACGACCUGUGAACCAGGCGUCCAGCCACAACUCUGACUCAAUUUGAGCUAUUCAAGCUGCAUAAUGCACUCGGUGCAUCCAUCGGCAACAUCACGCAUCAAUGGAGCAACAAAAACAACGUCAACAAUCAAUAUUGAUGCCGAGCGAGCGAUGAUUGUGAUGAUAACAGGCCCUGCCGUUGUUGCUGCCGUUGUUGCUCCCCCGAUAAUUAUGCUCAUAAAAGCGUAAGAGUUUUAAUUGGACUGCUUAUUACAAAUAAUCAGUGCAGUGCCUUGCCUGUCUGGGCAUAGAAAGUGGAUCGGAGGCCUGGGGACCGACCAUAUCAUAUUGGGCGUGUGCGCUCGUGUGCACUUGCCUGAGUUAUUCAAUUUGUGGCAUCAGCCAAAUUGCAGCCACAGCAACAAUUACGCCAAUCACACGACAGCAACAAUAACAAUAUGCUAAAAUUAAACGGAAAACGCGUUGGAAAUUAAA